GAGAGUGGCAACAAAAGGAGGAGUACGGCUCGGAUUAGAGUUGGACUCAGCAAAGAGCGCAGCAAAAGUGGUGGGAAAGCAAUCCAAGCCCGCAGCUUAAGGGGGAGGCAGCGGAGCACAAUCCAGUCCAAUCCGAUCACCACCCGAGUAGACCAGACCAGAGCGGAGCAGCCGGGAGAAGGAGGAGGAGGUUUAGCUAGGGUUCUCGCCGGCGGUCCAUCGAUCGGCUCAUCGAUGCGGAGGUUCCAGGAGUCCGUCAAGGCCCUCGAGGCCGACAUCGAGCACGCCAAUGCGCUGGCGUCGGAGUUCCUGAGGGACUACGACGGGUCGGUCAUCCAGAUGCGGAUGGCCUACAGCGCCGUCGCGCAUGUCCUCGUCCAGUGGACCGACUGCAGACUCGCCAGCGCGCUCGGCCUCCUCAAGAUUAUGAUCUACAAGGUGUACGCGGAGGAUGGCACGACGACCUUGCCAAGUUGGGAGAGGGAGGCCAGCAUCAGAGAAUUCUACGGUGUUAUAUUCCCGUCGUUGCUUCAGCUGCCAAGCGGGAUCACUGAACUGGACGACAGGAAGCAAAGGAGGCUGUGCGUGGACAAGUUCAAGAGAAGGGAUGGCGAUUUCUCUCACCUGGAUUUGGAGAGGGAGGUCGAGUGUGGGAUUUGUCUGGAGGUGAACGCUAAAAUCGUGCUGCCCGACUGUACGCACUCCUUGUGCUUGAGGUGCUUCGAAGAAUGGAAUGCUAAAUCAAAGUCGUGCCCUUUUGCCGCGCCUGUCUCCAAAAGGUGAAGCCGAGCAGUCUGUGGGUGUACACCGAUGAUCGUGAUGUUGUAGACAUGGAUGCAUUGACGAGUGAAAACAUUAGGAGAUUGUUUAUGUACAUAAAUAAGCUGCCACUUGUAGUCCUCCAUGUUGUUGACCUUGACAUUUAUGAGUACCAUAGCAAAUAGAAUGCCUUGUUCACAUUUGACUGUGUUCAGAUCAGCACCGAGUUGAUGCUACCGAUUUUGUCAUUCUGAGUUAUUCGAGUC
rnacentral:rRNA from 1 species